rnacentral:rRNA from 1 species
ACACCUGUUUGAGUGUCAUG